GAGUGCUUUUCCUCUUUUUCCCGAUCGAAAGCAAACUCACAACACUUAAUGAAAUUUUUGUUCCCUCCAAAGCUCAUCACUCAUCAUCGCGAAGAACCCUCUCUGAAACCCUCUCUGAAAUUUUUGUUAUCAAAUGCCUUUAUCCCCUUUCUGAAACCCUCUUACCAUCGUGAAGAACCACACGCACCACUCACUAUCGCCACAUCGCCACACACUCACCACUCACCACCCUCACUCACCACAUCGCCACUGACUGUCGCUCCUCUUCGCCCUCCUGCAUUGAGCUGUGCCGCCCUCAACAUCGUCAUCUCUGUGCUUCUCAUCGUCCUUCCCCUUUUAGUUCAAUCAUCAUCUCUGUAACCCUCACCUUCGCCAUUCUCAAUUUCUCACCGUCGCUGGUGAUCGUCGCCACCCAGUAACCACUCACCGCCAGUCACCGUCGCUGUUGAUCGUCACUAUUGCUGCACUGACCAUCGCCCUUCUUCACCGUUCUUCUCAUCAUCGUCUUCUCUGUGCUCACAUCAUUGAAUAUGUUAAAUGGCAUUCCAUAGUGCAGUUGAUGCGCACACUGCUGCUCAUUUAUUCAAUGAAUGUGUCAUGACAGUUCUUAGGAAAAAAACAAUCAUUCUAGUGACUCAUCAAGUGGAGCUUCUCUCAGAAGUUGAUAAAAUCCUAGUAAAGUAUCUCAAUUUUUUUUGAGAUUUCAAGUGUGAUGGAGGGAGGGAAAAUUACCCAGUCAGGUAGUUAUGAUGAUAUCCUAACUGCCGGGACAGCAUUCGAACAACUUAUGGGGUGACCACUUGUUAAGCAAGCACUUCUGAUUCCGAGGCUCUACCAGGAAGUGGUGGUUCAAAUGCUAACAACCAAUGGCGUGAUUUCUUCAAGCUUCUCAAGAAAGGCUCAAGGAUGCCAUUUCAACCAUUUCACCCUCUUAAGAAGAAUGUUCCUAAGUUAACUAGAAGGAAGAGUAAGAGGUCAACUGGGGCAUACAAAGUUGCAUCAAGACUGGCAAGUGCAAUACCACCUCCUUCACAUGUUCUAAGCCGUGGUAUUGGCUGGCAGGGAAUUGGAAUACUGCUAAAUGGACUUUUAGGAGCCGCAACUGGUUCAUCAGUUUCUGUAGAGAAUGUGGGACUCCUUGGAAGCACUCGCGUUGGAAGUUGAAGGGUCAUUCAAAUUUCAGCGGGCUUUAUGAUAUUCUUCUCAAUGUUAGGAAAAUUUGGAGCUUUCUUUGCAUCAAUACCCUUACCUAUUUUUGCAGCUGCACACUGCAUUCUAUUUGGUCUUGUAGUUUCUGUGGGAUUAUCAUUUCUGCAGUUCACUAACAUGAACUCAUUGAGGAACAUCCAAACAUUGUAGUAAUUAUUAUAAGAGAAGUAAUUCUUUGUUGUUAAGUGCUUUUUCAGGUGUUACUUGCAUCAAAUGUGGGAACCCGAUGGACAAAGAACUGAAGAUAAUGGUGAAUGAUUCCAGUAGUGAAGUUACUCAUCGUCAUGAGGAUGGAGCAUUUGUUAAAGGAGAAGCCAUGUACUUGAUUUUUGAUGAUUUGAAAGUGCUUCAAAGCUCUCCUAGAAUCUUUGUGAAGGAACUUGUCCAGCUUGGCUACAAAGAUUUCAACAAUUUGACAGAAAUUUAUCAAAAUGUUGGUCUGAAGGAGUUGCAGGAGUCAAGCAAGUACCAGUACCAUGAGCAACUUUGGGAUUCUCCUUUCAGCCAUGCCUUACCCAGCUGUCUUAAGCCAAGACAUUGUCACUCCUAGCAGUGCAGAAAUCAUCAUACAUAUCUCCUCUAUUUUUUACUGGUGUGUUGGAGGCUGUGGUAGCUGCCUUGUUUAUGAAUAUUUAUAUUGUUGGAUUGAAUCAAUUGUCAGAUAUUGAAAUAGACAAGGAACAAGUAAAGCUGCAAAAUUCUUGAGAGCCAAUGGAAUUUCUCUUUUCAAAGUACCGAAAAAAAUAGUAAAGCUACUUGAAAAAUCUGACCUGUAUUUCUUUAGCCCCGAGCAUCCUCCAUUGAUCGAACCAGCUCAGAAAGCCCUUGACUGGGCUGUGGAUGAGUAAUUGAAGUCAGGGUUUAUGAUCUUUAUGUACUUCUUUGAAACUUACUUGGAUAUACGACAACUUAAGGCACUCAAACUUCCUACUCUUCCAAAGACUUUAGAAGGCGUAAUAAGCCAAGAUAAAUUUUUGAAAUCCAGGGCCUACAGUCUUGAUAAAAGGUUUGUUAUUUUGUUUUUCGAUAUUCGCAGGUCUUCCUGAAGUUUGCUUCUAUAGUUUUAUGUGUCUUGUUAAUGUUCUUAACAUGCAAGUCUUGUAGACCACCUUGUUGUUAUUACCAAUUUUUGUUUCUAUUGUGAGAUUUUCACCGACGAUAGCCGCGACUGGUUUGUGAGAUUUCCAGUUAUUGUUGCUGCCCAUUGCUCAACAAACAGUGGCUUUUCUUCUAGAUCUUAUAUGAUGUGAUGACAGUCUGCAAGAGAGACUAGCAGCUGGACGAAAAAGUUGGUGGCAUAGUUGGUGCUCUUAGUGAUUCUGUCACUGUCUUCCGUGAGAAGAACAAGAUCACUAUCACCUCUGAUAGUAAUUUCUCCAAGCGGAUAAACUUGGAAAUAUGGAGAACAAGUAGCAGAAACAAGAGAAAGAGAUUUAUGGAUUGCGGAAUAUCGUCAAGUUAAUUGUGGUUUAUUGGCUAAGAUAGAGUAAUGUUGGGAAUGGUUACAUAUAUGGUUAGUUGACUAAUGACUUUUAUUAAAAGAUACUUAUGUAGGAUAUGUUUUUUGUAGACUAUUAGUAGUAAAUUCUAAGUGGUAGUAUGGUUAUUUUGA